ACCACACAUUUGGCAAAUGCAAAAGCCUAACCCCAAAAUAUCCAAAAUUUCAGGAGAAGCCGCAAACCAUAAUGUGCAUGUGUUUAAGUCUCUGUUGGAGAGCAUGUGUGCCUGAUGUUUGUCCUUUAGAUUUUGUCCACCAACGUUAAGUUCAAAACACCUUCCUGCUAAGCUCCUGCUUUUUUUAUAAACAGUGAAGAGACUGCGAAAGAGAGAUAGCAAAACAUAUCAUUAAACAUUGUUUUCUCCGUUAAACUCUCAACAGUCUUAACUCCUUUUCACCAAAAUGGAAAAUGGUGGCUUGAAGCCAAUGGAUGCAGAGCAACUGAGGGAGAAUGCUCACAGAAUGGUGGAUUUCAUUGCAGAUUACUACAAAACUAUCGAGAAUUUCCCAGUUCUCAGCCAAGUUCAGCCUGGGUAUCUACGUGAACUUGUGCCGGAUUCUGCUCCAAAUCAUCCAGAGUCACUGCAAAACGUUCUUGAUGAUAUUCAGGCAAAGAUAUUGCCAGGGGUAACUCAUUGGCAAAGCCCAAAUUACUUUGCAUAUUAUCCUUCUAAUAGCAGUGUUGCUGGAUUUUUGGGAGAAAUGCUUAGCGGUGCUCUAAACAUUGUGGGUUUCAGUUGGAUAACGUCUCCUGCUGCAACAGAGCUUGAGAUGAUUGUUCUAGACUGGCUUGGUAAAAUGCUUAAGCUACCUGAGGACUUUCUUUCAACAGGACAAGGUGGUGGAGUUAUACAAGGUACCGCAAGUGAAGCUGUUUUAGUUGUACUACUGGCUGCUCGUGAUAAGGCUUUGAGGAGGGUUGGUAAAAAUGCUCUUGAAAAGCUUGUGGUAUAUGCCUCUGAUCAAACACAUUCUGCUUUACAAAAAGCUUGCCAGAUUGGAGGAAUUCAUCCAGAGAAUUGCAGGGUGCUUAAAACAGACUCUUCAACUAAUUAUUCCCUUUCUCCGGGUUUACUUGCUGAAGCUAUUUCUCGUGACCUUGCUAUCGGAUUGAUACCUUUCUUUUUAUGUGCUACAGUCGGCACUACAUCGUCUACAGCUGUUGAUCCUUUGCUUGAACUGGGAAAGAUUGCCAAGAGUAAUGGAAUGUGGUUUCAUGUGGAUGCUGCAUAUGCUGGAAGUGCAUGUAUAUGUCCAGAAUAUCGACAAUAUAUUGAUGGUGUUGAAGAAGCUGACUCUUUCAACAUGAAUGCACACAAGUGGCUUCUAACAAACUUUGAUUGUUCAGCACUUUGGAUAAAGGAUAGAAAUGCUUUGAUUCAGUCCCUCUCUACAAAUCCAGAGUUUCUGAAAAACAAAGCCUCUCAAGCAAACCUGGUUGUGGAUUACAAAGAUUGGCAAAUUCCUCUUGGACGUCGAUUUAGAUCAUUGAAACUGUGGAUGGUGUUACGACUUUAUGGUUUGGAAAAUCUACAGUGCUAUAUAAGAAAUCAUAUCCAGCUGGCUAGACAUUUCGAAGGGCUUGUUGCUCAAGACCCGAGAUUUGAGGUUGUUACCCCAAGAAUUUUUGCAUUAGUUUGUUUCCGCCUUCUGCCACCCCACAAUGAUGAAGAUGGUGGCUAUAAACUGAACCACGACCUACUAGAUAUUGUAAACUCAACCGGGAAAAUCUUCAUAUCUCACACAGUUCUAUCAGGUACAUACAUAUUACGAUUUGCGGUAGGGGCGCCAUUGACUGAAGAGAGGCACGUGAAUGCAGCCUGGAAAGUUUUGCAAGAUGAAGCCUCUGCCUUGCUAGAGAAAGUCUCAGGAUAACCAAUGUUCAGCGGCUUUCUUUGAUCCCCUUGAUUUAUGUCAUUACCUCCUCGUAACAUUAUUUCCAUAUAUAAAUACCAAGAUUUUAUUUUUUUAGAUAAUAGAAAGGAAAAUAAAAUUUUGUUUUGGGCUCAGAUAGAUAAGUGAUAUGGAUACAGCCCAGUUGAUCUAGAGCGGGCCAAAGUGGAAUCUAUAACCAUAACCAUAUGUUGGGCUGAACUAAGUUUGGGCCUUUUAACACUGGAGGGAUUAGUUGGAGGUGUUGGGUCUGGGUGCUGCAUUUAAAAAUGGCUUCACCUGAUGAGCUAAGCAGGCUGUGUAUACAAAUAAGCAUCAUUCUUGUUACUGGGUUUUAUUCCAUCCUCUCAAUUUGCGAAUCGUGAUGCAAAUUGCAAGAAAGAGACACUAAAAUAAGAAUAAUACUAUACAUCUCAGAUUU